UACAGCCUUUCGUCCGUAGUUGAAUACCACAAAAAGGAGACCAAAGAGGUAUAACACAAAGAGAUGGAGCUUCGAUAGCAAAUAAAACAUGAGAGAGAACAGAGUAACAACUAUGCUCAAGUGCAAUGAGAAAAGGGGCCGAGUAAAGAUUUUGUGUGACUAAUCUAUACAAAGGAUAUGGCUGCACACCUGCCAUGAAUGACCGAAACAAGAAAUCCAGCAGAACGGAUCACUUCAAUUUCCGAUCGUGUCAUUUUGUGUGUCCAGCAAGCAUUGACUUGGCCCUCAAAACCAUUGUUAGACUGCAUUCCAGUUGAUGAUAUAGAUCUUACAUAUUCCUGCAGAGAUUAGUUGUAGGUCAAGUUAGGGACAUCUUAUUUUCAAGUCUGAACAAUUAGUGAAGAAUUGUUUACUACUGAAGGACAUUGCUUUCAGCAACUGACGUGACACCAAACCUACCAGGUGAAACCCUAUGUUUAUUGUCAACAAUUCUAUGUGAUGUUUGCAACCAUGUACGACAAUGGAUAAAGAAAAGUUAUUAAUAAGCUGCUAGUAAGUUGUUACAUACCAAGCUAUGUUAGCAUUGGUUGGAAACAUGAUGCUACAUGCUUUUCUGAGUCAUCAAAUAAAAUAUGUGCCAAAACAGAAGAGUGAUGAUGCCUACAACUAGUUGAGUAGAUCAAUUAUUUUUACCCUUCUUUAAUUCUAUUGUCAAGUAUCUGUUGUACUGCAAUAAUGCGUGUCAACAAAGGAGGAAAUCAAACAAUCCAUUGAAAGCAAAAUUACCAAGAUCUCAUUGCCAACUUAUGAUAGUAGGAAAAGUGAGUAUAUCCACUUUUGUCUGUUAAUAAAAUUAUUGUACAAGGACUAGUCACCAUUAAUAAUCUUUAACAUUUGUUGCUUGAUAUAAGAUUGAUGAGCUUUUAAC